AUUGAACGCUGGCGGCAUGCCUAACACAUGCAAGUCGAACGGCAGCACAGUAGAGAUUUCGGUCUUUAUGGGUGGCGAGUGGCGGACGGGUGAGUAAUGCGUAGGAAUCUGUCCUGGAGAGUAGGAUAACCCGAGGAAACUCGGGCUAAUACUGCAUGAUAUCGAGAGAUCAAAGGCAGGGGACCCUUCGGGGCCUUGCGCUCUAGGAUGAGCCUACGUCGGAUUAGCUAGUUGGGGGGGUAAAGGCCUACCAAGGCGACGAUCCGUAGCUGGGCGGAGAGGAUGACCAGCCACACUGGGACUGAGACACGGCCCAGACUCCUACGGGAGGCAGCAGUGGGGAAUCUUGGACAAUGGGGGAGACCCUGAUCCAGCGAUGCCGCGUGUGUGAAGAAGGCCUUCGGGUUGUAAAGCACUUUAGUUGGGGAAGAAAAGUAAUGAGUGAAUAACUGAUUGCUCUGACGGUACCCAAAGAAUAAGCACCGGCUAACUCUGUGCCAGCCGCCGCCGUAA
rnacentral:rRNA from 1 species